rnacentral:tRNA from 9 species
GGCGGCAUGGCCAAGUGGUAAGGCAAAGGACUGCAAAUCCUUCAUUCAUCGGUUCAAAUCCGAUUGCCGCCUCCA